GAACUGGGGGCGGGGGUCUGUCAAUCAUUAUUUGCAUCAACCAAUUAAAUAACUACUCUUGGCUAUCAAUCACAUUUUGCAUUGGCCCGUCACAGAUUAGAACAAGCUCUCCGCCAUUUUUUGAAUUAGCCAAUGUAGAUAUUGUUAGGUUAGUUUAACACCCUUUUUCUGUCACAGGUCAUUUUACCCAUUGGAACGUGAGGUGAAAGUGAUUUCAGUUAUGUGAAGUCAGUUAUGUGAAAUCAUUUUGCUACACAGAAGCUUUAGAGAUUGGGGUGAGUGACCAGCAAUAAUACAAAACAAUGGUGUAUACUCCUGCCCAUUCUGUCAGCCCAGAGUAUUUUCUACAAAAUCUAUGUUCCAUGCAACUGCCCAUCUUGAAGACCACCAAAAGCAUGCAGUUUCAUAGAGCCUGUCAUUUGCAGCACCUUCGCCCA